rnacentral:rRNA from 2 species
ACCACCUUCGGGUGGGGAUUAGUGGCGAACGGGUGAGUAACACGUGGGCAAUCUGCCCUGCACUCUGGGACAAGCCCUGGAAACGGGGUCUAAUACCGGAUACUGACCUGCCAAGGCAUCUUGGCGGGUCGAAAGCUCCGGCGGUGCAGGAUGAGCCCGCGGCCUAUCAGCUUGUUGGUGAGGUAAUGGCUCACCAAGGCGACGACGGGUAGCCGGCCUGAGAGGGCGACCGGCCACACUGGGACUGAGACACGGCCCAGACUCCUACGGGAGGCAGCAGUGGGGAAUAUUGCACAAUGGGCGAAAGCCUGAUGCAGCGACGCCGCGUGAGGGAUGACGGCCUUCGGGUUGUAAACCUCUUUCAGCAGGGAAGAAGCGAAAGUGACGGUACCUGCAGAAGAAGCGCCGGCUAACUACGUGCCAGCAGCCGCGGUAAUACGUAGGGCGCAAGCGUUGUCCGGAAUUAUUGGGCGUAAAGAGCUCGUAGGCGGCUUGUCGCGUCGGUUGUGAAAGCCCGGGGCUUAACCCCGGGUCUGCAGUCGAUACGGGCAGGCUAGAGUUCGGUAGGGGAGAUCGGAAUUCCUGGUGUAGCGGUGAAAUGCGCAGAUAUCAGGAGGAACACCGGUGGCGAAGGCGGAUCUCUGGGCCGAUACUGACGCUGAGGAGCGAAAGCGUGGGGAGCGAACAGGAUUAGAUACCCUGGUAGUCCACGCCGUAAACGGUGGGCACUAGGUGUGGGCAACAUUCCACGUUGUCCGUGCCGCAGCUAACGCAUUAAGUGCCCCGCCUGGGGAGUACGGCCGCAAG